GGUGGCUCAGUGGUAGAGCGCUUGCCUCGCAUGCAUGAGGCUCUGGGUUCCAUUCCUCAGCACCA
rnacentral:tRNA from 1 species